GAGUAACACGUAGGCAACCUGCCCUCAAGACUGGGAUAACUACCGGAAACGGUAGCUAAUACCGGAUAAUUUAUUUCACAGCAUUGUGGAAUAAUGAAAGACGGAGCAAUCUGUCACUUGGGGAUGGGCCUGCGGCGCAUUAGCUAGUUGGUGGGGUAACGGCCCACCAAGGCGACAAUGCGUAGCCGACCUGAGAGGGUGAACGGCCACACUGGGACUGAGACACGGCCCAGACUCCUACGGGAGGCAGCAGUAGGGAAUCUUCCGCAAUGGGCGAAAGCCUGACGGAGCAACGCCGCGUGAGUGAUGAAGGUUUUCGGAUCGUAAAGCUCUGUUGCCAAGGAAGAACGUCUUCUAGAGUAACUGCUAGGAGAGUGACGGUACUUGAGAAGAAAGCCCCGGCUAACUACGUGCCACCAGCCGCGGUAAUACAUAUGGGGCAAGCGUUGUCCGGAAUUAUUGGGCGUAAAGCGCGCGCACGCGGGUCUUUAAGUCUGGUGUUUAAACC
rnacentral:rRNA from 1 species